UACGAAGGGGGCUAGCGUUGUUCGGAAUCACUGGGCGUAAAGCGCACGUAGGCGGAUUUUUAAGUCAGGGGUGAAAUCCCGGGGCUCAACCUCGGAACUGCCUUUGAUACUGGAGAUCUUGAGUCCGGAAGAGGGAAGUGGAACUGCGAGUGUAGAGGUGAAAUGCGUAGAUAUUCGCAAGAACACCAGUGGCGAAGGCGGCUUACUGGUCCGGAACUGACGCUGAGGUGCGAAAGCGUGGGGAGCAAACAGG
rnacentral:rRNA from 1 species